rfam:Ornithorhynchus anatinus chromosome 1, whole genome shotgun sequence.
CUGGUUGUAGGGGUACAGUGAUCAGGUUACGAUGGAUUUCUCAAGUAACAACCUCGUAGCUCGGUCACGAUAUCCAUAUGACUCG